UACGGAGGGAGCUAGCGUUGUUCGGAAUUACUGGGCGUAAAGCGCGCGUAGGCGGCUUUGUAAGUUAGAGGUGAAAGCCCGGGGCUCAACCCCGGAAUUGCCUUUAAGACUGCAUCGCUAGAAUCCAGGAGAGGUGAGUGGAAUUCCGAGUGUAGAGGUGAAAUUCGUAGAUAUUCGGAAGAACACCAGUGGCGAAGGCGGCGCACUGGACCGGUACUGACGCUGAGGUGCGAAAGCGUGGGGAGCAAACAGG
rnacentral:rRNA from 1 species